rnacentral:rRNA from 1 species
GACGAACGCUGGCGGCGCGCUUAACACAUGCAAGUCGAGCGAGAUCCAGGCCUUCAGGCCUGGGGACAGCGGCGAACGGGUGAGUAACACGUGGGUAAUCAACCCUCGACACUGGGAUAGCCCGGGGAAACCCGGAUUAAUACCGGAUGGCCCUUUGGAUCUUCGGAUCUGACGGGAAAGGUAGCUUCGGCCUCCGGUCGAGGACGAGCCCGCGGCGGAUUAGCUUGUUGGUGGGGUAACGGCUCACCAAGGCGACGAUCCGUAGCUGGUCUGAGAGGACGAUCAGGCACACUGGGACUGAGGCACGGCCCAGACUCCUACGGGAGGCAGCAGUGGGGAAUCUUGCGCUAAUGCGGGCAACCGUGACGCAGCGACGCCGCGUGAGGGAAGAAGGCCUUCGGGUUGUAAACCUCUUUCAGGAGGGACGAAGCCACUCGGGUGAAUAGCCCAGAGGGUGACGGUACCUCCAGAAGAAGCCCCGGCUAACUACGUGCCAGCCGCCGCGGUAAGAC